rnacentral:rRNA from 1 species
AGUGAACGCUGGCGGCAGGCCUAAUACAUGCAAGUCGAACGGCAGCACAGUAAGAGUUUCCCCUUACGUGGCGCGUGUCGCGGGGGUGAGAGAUAUAUAUCAGUCUCCCCAGUUUUGGGGGGGAUCAUGGGGGAACUUACACUCUUAUCCCGCACACGCUCCGCGGGUGAGACGAGGAGCUCCUCGCCUCUCGCGCGUUGGUAAGCGCAUGUUGGAUUAGCUAGUUGGCGGGGUAAAGGCCCACCAAGGCGACGAUCUGUAGCUGGUCUGAGAGGAUGAUCAGCCACACUGGGACUGAGACACGGUCCAGACUCCUACGGGAGGCAGCAGUAGGGAAUAUUGGACAAUGGGCGCAAGCCUGAUCCAGCCAUGCCGCGUGAGUGAAGAAGGCCUUCGGGUUGUAAAGCCCUUUUGUCGGGGAAGAAAAGCAGCAGGCUAAUACCUCGGUGUUCUGACGGUACCGGAAGAAUAAGCACCGGCUAACUUCGUG